GUGAGGAAUAUUGGUCAAUGGGCGAAAGCCUGAACCAGCCAUGUCGCGUGAAGGAUGAAGGUCCUAUGGAUUGUAAACUUCUUUUGCAGGAGGGUAAAGUGAGCUACGUGUAGUUCAUUACAAGUACCCUGCGAAUAAGCAUCGGCUAACUCCGUGCCAGCAGCCGCGGUAAUACGGAGGAUGCGAGCGUUAUCCGGAUUUAUUGGGUUUAAAGGGUGCGUAGGCGGACUAAUUAGUCAGCGGUGAAAUUUUGCGGCUCAACCGUAAAACUGCCGUUGAAACUGUUAGUCUUGAGUGCGGUAGAGGUAGGCGGAAUGUGUGGUGUAGCGGUGAAAUGCUUAGAUAUCACACAGAACACCGAUUGCGUAGGCAGCUUACUGGAGCGCAACUGACGCUGAGGCACGAAAGCGUGGGGAUCGAACAGGAUUAGAUACCCUGGUAGUCC
rnacentral:rRNA from 1 species